rnacentral:rRNA from 1 species
GACGAACGCUGGCGGCGUGCUUAACACAUGCAAGUCGAACGGAAAGGCCCUGCUUUUGUGGGGUGCUCGAGUGGCGAACGGGUGAGUAACACGUGAGUAACCUGCCCUUGACUUUGGGAUAACUUCAGGAGACUGGGGCUAAUACCGGAUAGGAGCUCCUGCUGCAUGGUGGGGGUUGGAAAGUUUCGGCGGUUGGGGAUGGACUCGCGGCUUAUCAGCUUGUUGGUGGGGUAGUGGCUUACCAAGGCUUUGACGGGUAGCCGGCCUGAGAGGGUGACCGGCCACAUUGGGACUGAGAUACGGCCCAGACUCCUACGGGAGGCAGCAGUGGGGAAUAUUGCACAAUGGGCGGAAGCCUGAUGCAGCAACGCCGCGUGCAGGAUGACGGCCUUCGGGUUGUAAACCGCUUUCGCCUGUGACGAAGCGUGAGUGACGGUAAUGGGUAAAGAAGCACCGGCUAACUACGUG